UACCCGGUGUUUUUCAACACCACCUUUCGUGGAAAUUAGUUUGUAU
rfam:Gonium pectorale scaffold00051, whole genome shotgun sequence.